rnacentral:lncRNA from 1 species
GGGGGCGACGUGGUGGGGUCCAUUUGUAGGUUGUGGAGGAUUUGAUCUUUUGCUCUUGGAAAUAAAUCUUGCUGCUGCGCGCGCUCUCUCUCUGGGUGCAUGCUGCUUUUAAGAGCUGUGAUACUCACCAGGAAGGUCCGUGGUUUCAUUCUGGAAGUCAGCGAGACCAAGAACCCACCAGAAGGAACCAACUACAGACACACUGCUAUAUGGUCCAGCUAUGUACAAACUGAAUCAAGAUUCUAUGUACAUCAGAAUCAAGAGAGAGUGAGUUCUUGACAUCACGGAGCGGUCUACAUUCUAGUUCAUGCGGUGGACCUGCUGGGUGGCCUCAGAGUCUCCCUAUGUCUCCCAAGCUGGAGUGCAGUGGCGUGAUCUUGGCUCAUUGCAGCCUCCACCUCCCAGGUUCAAGUGAUUCUUCUCUCCCAGCCUCCCAAGUAGCUGGGAUUACAGGCUGGAGUGCAAUGGCGUGAUCUCAGCUCACUGCAACCUCCACCUCCUGGGUUCAAGAGAUUCUCCUGCGUCAGCCUCCCGAGUAGCUGGGAUUACAGGCAUGCACCACCACGCCUGGUUAAUUUUGUGUUUUUAGUAGAGAGAGGUUUCUCCUUGUUGGUCAGGCUGGUCUCGAACUCCCAACCUUAGGUGAUCUGCCCGCCUCGGCCUCCCAGAGUGCUGGGAUUACAGGUGUGAGGCACCGCGCCGGCCUAUUGCUUUUAUGUUCUCUACAGUCUCUGCAUGCCUCUGUUGGCUGCCAUCGGGGGCAGACCACUCCCACUGCCCAUCCUUGGACUCCACUGUUUUGGUUUCCCUGGGCAGUUACCCUCUGUCUGGGCAAGUGAAGAUUCUCAGCCUGAGCCCAAUAUCAACAAUGUUCCAGGCUGAAACAGCAGUAGCCAAUUGUCUGCCCAUUUCUGAACGGUUCUUACUAUUCUGGAACUGUAGUCCUUAUACUUUUUUUCUUUGCUUUCACAGUUCUGGAUUCCCUUAAAAAUACUAUUUCUGUGUUAAGUGUUUUCUAGCUGUCAGCACACAUGCUGUCUUACCGUGACCUAUUAUAUCUUUCUUGGAAACAGAAGGCACUACUGGUUUUUGAAUGCUGAUCUUAUAUUUUGGAAUCUCACUGAGUGUUCUUAUUAGUCGUAAAGCCUUAUCUAUAAAUUCUCCUGGAAAGUUCCCUUCAAUCCUUCUUUUAAUGACAAUUUGAAUUAUAAAUGAGGAUUGAAUUUUUUCAAAAUUUUUUCAGAAUGGAUUUAGCGAAUUAUGCGAAUUUCUCAUUUAAUGUGAUGUAUUAUACAAUAAGUUUUUCUGAUAUGGAACCAUCCUUGCAUUUCUUAGAUUCACCCUAUCCUUUCAUAAUGUAUUUUCUAAAAUAUUACUGAACCUGACUUCCUAGUUUUCCAUUUUACACUUUCAUGUCUAUUUUUCUAUAGAUUUCUUUACUUUUGUAUUAUUCUUAGUGGAUUUUGGUAUAAAGGUCUUAUUA